CAGUUUCUUGAUCUUGGCCUUCAUAGUCUCAAUACCGUGAAAAAUCAAUUUCUGUUGUUUAUAAGCCACACAGUAUAUGGCAUUCUGUAAUAACAGCACAAAUGGAGUAAGACGGGAAGAGCUAUAGAAAUUGAGAUUGUGCAGUUUUCACAUGCAAGCUAUGGUGGCCACUGUUAUAGACUAUGCACACAUUUCCCCUUCUUUACUAACAAGUCUGAUUUUUGCCUGGGAAGGCAUCAAAUGGCAGUUCUGACCAAUGAAGUUGAGGGUUUCUGGGAAAACUCGUACUUUCUUGAUGUAAGCAUUAUUCCGUUUCCUUUUUGCCUUUUAAUCAUCCUCUCUUCUUCCUGCCUGACACCUGGACAAGAGGAUGGAGGUGGAGCAGCAAUCUUGCAUCUUGUGGCAACAGGCAUCAAGAUAGGCCUACAUGCUAAGAAUGAUGGAAUGAAAAUACAAGCCUAGGUUGACUACACUGGACUUCCUUUUUGUCACAUAGACUGAAGUUGGAACAAUAUAGAGAUUAGCGUGGUUCCCGCACAAGGAUGAUACACAGGCAACACAACUAGAACAAGAUAUUUUCAACUGCUAAAGGACCCAAACUGGAUGAAUUGAUAUAAGGCAAUGUGACAGGUAGCUCUUAACAAGUAUAACAGAAAUUAUAUAUCCACAUAAGUGUUGUUUCUUUCAAAAUAAUCAACCCCUGAGUUACAAAGUUAUAUAUAAAGAAUAUAUAGCCCU